rnacentral:rRNA from 1 species
UACAGAGGGUGCGAGCGUUAAUCGGAAUUACUGGGCGUAAAGCGUGCGUAGACGGUUAUUUAAGUCGGGUGUGAAAGCCCCGGGCUCAACUGGGGAGGGUCACUCGAUACUGAUCGACUUGAAGGCAGGAGAGGGAAGCGGAAUUCCCGGUGUAGUGGUGAAAUGCGUAGAUAUCGGGAGGAACACCAGUGGCGAAGGCGGCUUCCUGGCCUGUUCUUGACGCUGAGGCGCGAAAGCUAGGGGAGCAAACGGG